rnacentral:tRNA from 1 species
UGGAUCACCUCCUAACAGGGAGACAACAAAAUGUUUAAUAUUAUUAUUUUGUCACCUUAGGUCGAUCGGUAUCUCACGUUUUUAAUUUAUUAAGAAUUUCAUUUCCUAAGUUUUUUCUAGGUCACACCCAUUACUUUUCCUGGGCCAUUAGCUCAGGUGGUUAGAGCGCACCCCUGAUAAGGGUGAGGUCCCUGGUUCAAGUCCAGGAUGGCCCAUAUCUCUAUGUUGGGGGUAUAGCUCAGUUGGUAGAGCGCCUGCUUUGCAAGCAGGAUGUCAGCGGUUCGAGUCCGCUUACCUCCACUGAUUACCACCUCUUCCAUAUUUUAAAGAAGGGAAAUGUUUUGAGUUGUGAUCAAUCCUGAACGAAUCUAGCUUCCUAAUCAGUCUUAAUUAAGAUGCUGGAUUCAUUGAAUUAAAUUCAUUGUUUUCAGAGAACCUUGACAACUGCAUAGAUUUUUUAAAGACAAUAAGCAUCUUUAAUGAUGCAGAUUUAUUAUUUGUGCGAAUGCAUUAAUAACAAUUCUAUUAAGCUGAUGCUUCAAUUUAUUGAAGUUAUUGGUCAAGCUACAAAGGGCUCACGGAGGAUACCUAGGCACACAGAGGCGAUGAAGG